CAAUCCUUUAGCUGCUUGGAAGGGUUCAGUAGUUUCCCCAUUAAUCAUGAUUGUAUAGCUCACUGUCUGGACACAUUCCAUAAUCCACCUUAUGAAUCUGCCUGGGAAGUGUAAGGAUUCCAUCACUUGUUGCAAGAAGAUCCACUCAACAGAAUCAUAAGCCUUCUGUAGGUCUAUUUUAAUCAUGCACCUAGGAGACACAUGUGUUCUAGCAUAG
rnacentral:lncRNA from 1 species